rnacentral:rRNA from 1 species
GCGCAAUGGGCGGAAGCCUGACGCAGCGACGCCGCGUGGGGGAUGACGGCCUUCGGGUUGUAAACCUCUUUCAGCACCGACGAAGCUAACGUGACGGUAGGUGCAGAAGAAGCGCCGGCUAACUACGUGCCAGCAGCCGCGGUAAUACGUAGGGCGCAAGCGUUGUCCGGAAUUAUUGGGCGUAAAGAGCUCGUAGGCGGUUUGUCGCGUCUGUCGUGAAAGCCCACGGCUUAACCGUGGGUCUGCGGUGGAUACGGGCAGACUAGAGGCAGGUAGGGGAGAACGGAAUUCCCGGUGUAGCGGUGAAAUGCGCAGAUAUCGGGAGGAACACCGGUGGCGAAGGCGGUUCUCUGGGCCUGUACUGACGCUGAGGAGCGAAAGCGUGGGGAGCGAACAGGAUUAGAUACCCUGGUAGUCCACGCCGUAAACGUUGGGCGCUAGGUGUGGGGUUCUUCCACGGAUUCCGCGCCGUAGCUAACGCAUUAAGCGCCCCGCCUGGGGAGUACGGCCGCAAGGCUA